ACAUUUGGGCAGUACGCAUUCGGAGGGCUCUCUGGCUUUCCGAUCUUGGGUCGCUGUACUUGGCUCUGAAUACAGUCACCCCAUCAGAGUAGCAAAACACUGUGGUUGUAGUGUGAGAAUCCAAUGUUAAUGUUGGCCGAAAGCUCUUGAUUUUCUUCCCUGAGAACAUAGGCGUGAGGAUUUGGAUGUGUUUCCAAAUGCUUGUUACUCUUUGCCGUAAACCUGGAAUUUGGACCUAUGGCUGCCUGGGACUCAUACUGUCGUGGAGAAAGAUUGAAAAGUAGUUAAUGGCAGUGGUGGUAUGAAGGUGAUGCCACACUCAAUCAGAAACUAUGCUACUGCUGAAGAGGUAUAUUGAGCCCUGCCUGGUUAACCUCCAGUGAGGUUAUUAGAGAAUUGGGAGAGGCUCAAAUCAGCAUCCUGCACCUAGUUAUCAAACCAUUGUGAAGUCUUGAUUCCUGGAUGGCCAGAAAACUUGUCAUUGGUCAAGAGCAACAUUAAGAUCUGCCUGUUACUCAUACUGAUGCUUCCUGCCCAGCAAGUUCAUCAGAGGGCGAGGAUGAAUUACGGUUGCCAUGAAUGUCCUUGUGAGGCAGUUGGGAAGCCUUGGCUGGAUUGUGAAGGAUAUUUGAAAAGUAUUUUA
rnacentral:lncRNA from 1 species